rnacentral:rRNA from 1 species
UACGUAGGGUGCGAGCGUUGUCCGGAAUUACUGGGCGUAAAGAGCUCGUAGGUGGUUUGUCGCGUUGUUCGUGAAAACUCACAGCUCAACUGUGGGCGUGCGGGCGAUACGGGCAGACUGGAGUACUGCAGGGGAGACUGGAAUUCCUGGUGUAGCGGUGGAAUGCGCAGAUAUCAGGAGGAACACCGGUGGCGAAGGCGGGUCUCUGGGCAGUAACUGACGCUGAGGAGCGAAAGCGUGGGUAGCGAACAGG